GACGAACGCUGGCGGCGUGCUUAACACAUGCAAGUCCAACGGAAAGGCCCUGCUUUUGUGGGGUGCUCGAGUGGCGAACGGGUGAGUAACACGUGAGUAACCUGCCCUUGACUUUGGGAUAACUUCAGGAAACUGGGGCUAAUACCGGAUAGGAGCUCCUGCUGCAUGGUGGGGGUUGGAAAGUUUCGGCGGUUGGGGAUGGACUCGCGGCUUAUCAGCUUGUUGGUGGGGUAGUGGCUUACCAAGGCUUUGACGGGUAGCCGGCCUGAGAGGGUGACCGGCCACAUUGGGACUGAGAUACGGCCCAGACUCCUACGGGAGGCAGCAGUGGGGAAUAUUGCACAAUGGGCGGAAGCCUGAUGCAGCAACGCCGCGUGCGGGAUGACGGCCUUCGGGUUGUAAACCGCUUUCGCCUGUGACGAAGCGUGAGUGACGGUAAUGGGUAAAGAAGCACCGGCUAACUACGU
rnacentral:rRNA from 1 species